ensembl:lncRNA
AUGUCAACUAAAUCACGUUCAGCCUCUUGUUUCAAAGGGGGGCCAUCAGUGCAGUGGGGAGAUGGAAGCAGGGCACGCUGGCUGGGGACCAGGCUGGGGUCAUUGUGGGUAAGUGGAGGGGCCCUGUCGCCGCACAUGGGGGGACUGCCCACUGAAGCCGUGGGGAGGAAGGCUGAGGUUGAGGUGCUAGAACCUCCUCCCCUCCCCUGGAUGCUCAUUGAUCUCAGAAUGAGGCAUGAGGUGGCCAGGGUGGUAGUGGUGGUGGGGUUCCCAUCUCAGCACGGAGGUCCCGUGGCGGGGUAGUCACAGUGCUGAGGAUAGGGUGGCCGCUCCAAGGGGUGCCAUGAGGGGAAGUCUUCCUGCAUGAAGCAGGGUGGGAAGUGGUUGAAGCUGUGGGGGUGUGAUAGCUGAUCAGGCUACAGGGACGGCUGAGGGGGUGGGAUGGGCCCCCAGAAGGGUGGUGGCUGCUGCGUGUGGAGGGGUGGCUCGUGCUGGCCUCUGCCCCAUGGUGGCUGCUCCUGUGGGCUGUUCCAGGGCCCUUGAGCUAACUGUGCCAGUUAGCUGGUUGUUCCAGGGUGCAUCACACUGACCGUUCCAGCCAGGGUCCUCACGCUGCUCGCCCCACCCGCUGUCAUGGCUGUUGUUCCAGGGUGGGCAGUGGGGUGGUCCGCCCUGAUGGUAUGGGUAGGGGGCCUGCUCAUGAGGCAGCUGUUGGCCCCAAGGGGCAAUGGGAUGAGGCUGGUCAAACCACAGGGGCUUGCUAGGAGGGAUCUGAUUGUGGGGCCCAGAGCCCUGGGUGGCUGGCAGUGGCAGGAUCCAGAGCUGCUCCAGACACGCCACACUCAGAGGAGCCAGGCAUUUGGAUGGGAGUCUGGGCGGUCGGUGGGGUGAUGCGGGAGCAUAUGGGGGCCGGAGGUGGGGCAGGUGGUGGUCAGAUGGCCUUGGCGUCGGCUUCCUUUUGUGGCAUUUGGAGUUGCUGCCACUGCUGGGCCAGGUUAUUUAUUAUUAUUAUUUUUUAAAGGUUAUUGACAAACUCCUUGUACUGCGUCCUGAGGGUCUGGAUCUGCUGCUGGCAGGCCAGCGCCACUGCUGGGCCCCCGGGGAGUACUCGUUGCUGAGCGUCACCUGGUAUUGGCCGAGCCCCAGGCCUGGGCUCUGUGGCUGCUGGCUGAUGGCGUCGUCAGAGUUCCAGAGCUGCAGGGGCUGUGCUCCUCCACAGCCAAGAAGCAGGUGCAAUAGGUGGGCACCAUGAUGUUCCGCAGGGAGGCCAGCAGCUUCCUGGCCUGCUUGUGCUGGCUGUGAGGGAGAGACUCUCCUCGUGUCAGGACACAGGGGCACAGCAUGUCACCUAUCAGGCAGGUGAGGGGCAGCCACAGCUCGAAGUGCACACCUUCAGCCGUGAUGUGUUCUAGAGGAGGGCCGUCAACCACUCACAGUGGGUGGCGGCGGCAGUGUUCCGCAGGGAGGCCAGCAGCUUCCUGGCCUGCUUGUGCUGGCUGUGAGGGAGAGACUCUCCUCGUGUCAGGACACAGGGGCACAGCAUGUCACCUAUCAGGCAGGUGAGGGGCAGCCACAGCUCGAAGUGCACACCUUCAGCCGUGAUGUGUUCUAGAGGAGGGCCGUCAACCACUCACAGUGGGUGGCGGCGGCAGCAGNUUUGGUGCAUGUGUCGUUGAUGAGCUCAGCAGGUGGACAACUCAUUCAUGUGCAGCUGGGUCUCCUCCAGGAGCUUGUGCGUCUGCUGCUUCACUGCAUGGGCCACAGCAACCUGACAGGUGCCAUUUGAAUUGGGUCCUGCUUGGUGCAAGUGGGGCAGAUCAAAGACCUGGAGAAAGUUUAUCUCAGGUAGAAUAGGUGCAAAGGUCCUGAGGCAAGCGGGAGAUUGCAUUCUGGAGGAACAGAAGGGGGCUGCUAGGGCUGGAGCCCAGUGAGUCAGGGGAAGGAAGGCAGACAGUAGGUGGAACCCAUCAUGUAGGGCUGAAUGUGGUUGGAGUUUUUGUAAAUGCUACAGGAGAACUUUGGGGCAGGCCAGUCACAACAUUUGCAUGUUGAAGUGUUGAAAAGAUAAGAAGAUCCACUAAUAAAUAAUGUAAGUGUGCAGACUGCCA